rnacentral:rRNA from 1 species
AAGCAUAUAACUAAGCGGAGGAAAAGAAACUAACGAGGAUUCCCUAAGUAACGGCGAGUGAACAGGGAAAAGCCCAACGCUGAAUCCUUUAACAUCAUGUUAAUAGGAACUGUAGCGUAUAGGUGUAGCUAUCUAGUCGUUGAGUUCAACCAAAGUCCCCUUGAGCGGGGCUACAGUCCAAAGAGGGUGCUAGACCUGUACGGUUGGCUGAGCGAUUAGCACUGGCUGCACUUCGGAGUCGGGUUGCCUGAGACCGCAGCCCAAAGAGGGUGGUAAACCUCAUCUAAGGCUAAAUACGGCCACGAGACCGAUAGCAAACAAGUACCGUGAGGGAAAGUUGCAAAGAACUUUGAAGAGAGAGUUCAAGAGGGCGUGAAACCGCUGAGAAUGAAACGGAUAGAGUUGACGAAACUUCCGGCAUUCAUCCGACCGACGAAGCAGCGCUGCGGUCUUGAUCCUCGAUGAGGGCAAGGACGUUCGUGUAUGCUUUUGUGUUUGGUGUAUUUGCCGGCGGUAUGCGCCGAGUGUUCUGUUUGCGCUUGCUGAACGCCAUAUAGUGGACCACUUCCUUUGGAUGUGGAACCCUGUGUAACGGUAGGCAUGUCGCGUAUAGAGCUUCGUGUGUCGUUUUCACGUUGUGCACUGGCUGCUUUUCGGCAUGUGGUCUACGGGUGGUCGCUUGCGACAUAUCUGUAGUAACUGCUAGUUGGGAUGCGGCUGUGUGAGAUGUAGCG